rnacentral:lncRNA from 1 species
AUCACUCUUAAGACAUAGCUGAUACGAAAACAACUCCUGGUUCCGAAAGUCACACAGCGACUAAGACUACCAACAGCUUAAAGAUGUGUAAAGAGAAAGAUUAUUAAAAAGGAUCAAGAGAUUGUUACUUAACAGCUUAAAUAAGGCUUUUUGGAAGGGAAAAAAAAGUAACCAACAGCUUAAAGAUGUCUUAAGACAGUUUCCGAAAAGUCCUUAGAUGGAUAAAAAUUACCAAUGGCUUAUAUUAGACUUUAGGAUGGUAAAAAACGACCAACAACUUAAGAGAUGUCUUAACACAAAAAAAAAAAUUAAGAGCAAAAACAAAAAACUGAAUUGAGAAAUGUCUUUGCUAUAACGACCAAGAAGAUAAAAUAUUGCUUAAAAGAGUCUUAAAACAGAUAAUACAGGUUGGUUUGUAGACAUGACGGAAAGACAAUGAUUAGCGGCUUAGAAAAAGUCCUUCAAUGAAAGAAAAAGCGACUAAUGCCUGAAAUAAUACCUUAUUGGAUGCAAAAAAAAAACCUGAAAAACAGUUUGAAAAGAUUUUAAGACAAAGACUAUGGACCAAAAUGCUUAAAGAACUGUUUCUGUUUAAUAACAACAAGGCCUUAAAGGAGACAAAGACAUAGCUCAAACAAAAACUGCCAUGCUUUGGAAUGUCUCUAGACAAAGACAACCUACGGCUUCGAAAUGUCCCAC